rnacentral:rRNA from 1 species
AUUGAACGCUGGCGGCAGGCCUAACACAUGCAAGUCGAACGAGUGGCGGACGUGUGAGCUAUGAAUGGGCAAGUGCCUGAUGGAGGGGGUUAACAAAUGGAAACGGUAGCUACAACCGUAUUGCUUCAGAUGUGCCCAGAUGGGAUUAGCUUGUUGGUGGGGCAACGGCACACCAAGGCGACGAUCCCUAGCUGGUCUGAGAGGAUGACCAGCCACACUGGAACUGAGACACGGUCCAGACUCCUACGGGAGGCAGCAGUGGGGAAUAUUGCACAAUGGGCGCAAGCCUGAUGCAGCCAUGCCGCGUGUGUGAAGAAGGCCUUCGGGUUGUAAAGUACUUUCAGUGGGGAGGCGUUACCCGCAGAAGAAGCACCGGCUAACUCCGUGCCAGCAGCCGCGGUAAUUC